AGGCAUAGCGCAUGGGUUUGGCACAGACAAGUGUUUUUGGAGGCAAGGAAGGAUUUCGAAGGUUUUUUUUUUUUUUUAAUUUUCAGAGGGGUCUGGAAGGUUUAUAUUACUCUUCUGUAGAUGUGAUCUACUUUCUCUUUUUCUCUUGUGUUCUAGCUUGGCAAUCCGACCUCAGCAAAUCUUCUUUCCUAGGAAGAGGCUUGAAUGGCACAACGUGAAAAAAGCGGGGUGUUUCGCAUUCUGUUUCAGCACAUACCCUACAGGGAGACAAGGAGAGGACUGAGCACUGGGAUCAAAUAGAUAUGUCUAAUCCAUCUUCCAUAUGGCAACCCUUGAAGAUAUAGACAGCCUCAGUCUUAUUAAUUACCUAAGUAGAAGGUCAGCUUCUGUCCCAGAGGAGGAACACCUGGGAAAUGAGGAUGAAGGUUGCAUGUCUUUGCAAGAUACCUUCCUUCAAUAUGCAUCCAUAUGGAUUAUAUUGUACAUUUUGCAUAUGCAUAUGUAUGUAUAUGUAUAGACACACGUGUGCAUACGCAUGCAUUACAUAGCCCAGUUACAUAAGACACUCUUCAUUGGUGGUGACUGAUUACUCAGUGCUUCACAGCAAUGUAAGGGGUACAGUUGGUGAGAGAGAAGAGAGAUCGCAGUUCUCCUGGGUUCCAGUUCUUAGAGAGAAGACACCGGGUUUCCCAAUCUCUUUGGGAUGUAAGGGAUGACAGGCUGCUUUGUGUGGCUUUGCUUUUCUGAGUCACCAGUACUUAACAUGGUACUUGGUCCAUAGUGGGUGUUUCAGAAAUGUUUGUUGACUUGAUAACUGUCAGGAAGAGAACAUUUCCCAUUUCCAUUUUGCUAGGACUGUCCCUCCACUUGUAGCUUUAACUCCUGAAUCCGGCAGCAUGGUUUUGUUUUCCAGGACAUGAGGUCUGCAGAUGACAGCUUAGCCAUAGAAGGAUCUGUGAAGCUUCUGCUAUAGAAACAAGGAUAGGAGAGGUAUGUGCAGAUUUGGAUGGUGGGAAGUGACUAAAGGACUUAAACUUUUGACUUAGAUAUUUGACAGCAUCAGUGUUGAUCCUUCCCCAAACUUCUGUUUACAAACCUCAUUUCAGCAGAAUGCUAAGGGGAUUAAAGAGCAACCGCAGUAAUAACAGACAGAAGGUGAAGAUCUCCAUCUGAGUAUGAUGUCCUGUCACAUUCUUCCAGGGUCUUAAAACAGUUCCUUAGAGACUCACUUACUUUGUUCUUGGCAUACAUUUAGAGAUCCUCUGUCCUGCCUGCAGUUUGUCAGAGUCUGCCCCGUAGUCCCUGGGAUCAGUAACGGCUUUGUACUUUAGCAGCUUAGGUGAUGCAGUAGAAAGAGUGCUAGGGCUCGGGUCAGAAAGUCUCAUCUUCAUGAGUUCAAAUCCAGCCUCAAACAUUUACUAGCUGUGUGAGCCUGGGCAAAUCACUUAAUCCUUUAAUCAUUUGUAAAAGAAGUUGAAGGAAAUGGAAAGUCACUCCAGCAUCCAUGCCAAUAAAACCCCAAAUGGAGUCACAAAGAGUAGGACAAAACUAAAAUGACUGAACAACAACCACAAUGUACUUCACUUAAUUGUGAAAAAACUUCGUUAAAAAUAAAUAUAUGAUACACUGUGGUAUAAUCGAACGUAAUGGACUUCUCCAUUGGUGGUGGUGUAAUGUCCCUGAACAAUUUUCAGGGAUCCAGGAGAAAAAAACACUAUUCAUAAGCAAAGGAUAAACUAUGGGAGUGGAAACACCGAGGAAAAGCAACUGCCUGAAUACAGCGGUUGAGGGGACAUGACAGAGGAGAGACUCUAAAUGAACACUCUAAUGCAAAUACUAUCAACAAAGCAAUGGGUUCAAAUCAAGAAAACAUCUAAUGCCAGUGGACUUACGCAUCAGCUAUGGGGGGUGGGGGGGAGGAAAAGAAAAUGAUCUAUGUCU